UCCCGGAUAAAUAAGGCCACAGAUGGGCGUGCGCUUCACGAGUGCUAUCGAUGCCAAGCACUGGGCAGAUGCAAUCGUGGUUAAAUUAUCAGAAGCUAAGGCCACUGAAAGGCUCCAAUUCAGGCACUGAGGCUCCAAUAUUUAAACAGCUCCUCUUCUGAUGACACCACAGACAGUCUGACCGUCUCUUCUAUUCGCUCCCGCAAACGGAAUUAAACAUCCAUUGGAACACUCCAUCCUAAAGGGGGAAUUGGGGCUUCUCAGACCCUGCAGUAUCAAAGAAAGUUUACAACCGUGCUAAGAGUGUUUCAGGGCCACGGAAGGGUGUGAGGAGGGAAGAAUGAUUCCACCGGAGAAGGGGGCGAUUCUCGGGGAGAUGGUAGGUGAAUCGGAGAGAGGGCGAAUUUCCAAACUGAGGUAACUGCUCAUGCUACUGAGAUUUUGACCCAGUUUCAAAGACCAAGGAUGGAGAGCACCAG